UAGAAACAAGUGGCCGUAGGUAACAUACUCUGUGACCUAAUAAUGGGUUAUGUCAGUUGUGAUGUUUUCUGUGGUGGAUCAUAUAUCAUUUUUUGUAUCAGUAUCAGGAGUGUGCCAUGGUAGCGUACAAUUAAUUUCAUUAUGUCAGAUAACCAAUCGUACAAGUCCAUUCUUUUGACCAAUUAAAUCAUGGGGAUUUUAUUAGACUAGACCAAUCAUAUGGACCAGCCCCCGCGUUCACCUGUGUGUAUCCCCGAAUGUCUCGCCAUUCUGUCUGGCUUCUGUCUGGAGUCAUUCUGGCUUAUAACGUUAUACUCGCAGCUCCCCACAACAGAACAACGCCACGCCGCUAUGUGGCAGAGCUCCUUUGUACUUUCAGCGUCCUACCUUCGUGAUAACAGUGCAUACAGAAAACGCAGCCGUGAGACACGACUCCUCAAACUAAACUAUUUCUACACGUCCUCAACACAGCAAUACACCUGAUGGCAGCCAUCCGCCGGAGACGACUCCGGUACCUGGACCACAUUCUCCGCAUGGACCCCUCCAGACUGGUCAGGCGUACCCUGAAGGCCUACGUGUGCGGAGGAGUAAACCCGCCUGAAGGUUCCCUCCUGAUAGACUGAUAUCAGUAUUGAUGCCAUCAAUCCAGGAUCAACUGCAUGCAGCUUUCCAGGGUGGGACUUAGACUUAUUGUCCGAUGCCAUACCAUCCCCACAGCAGUUUGUACGGUGACGUCCAGGAAGAUCGGUGCACGUGUGUACGUCGAGCCCUACCAGAGGACCUGAAACUAAGUUAAGUUCUUUUGUAUGUCUUAUGUUGUGUAAAUUGCCCAGCCUUAGCUUAGCAAACUCAUGGUAGAUGGUAAGGUGCUGAGUAUGCUUUGUUGACAUGCCGAGUGAUGAUGCUGGUAGAGGUUUAUAUUAGGACACUUUGUAACUAGA